CAUGCAAGUCGAACGCUCCAGCAAUGGAGAGUGGCAGACGGGUGAGUAACGCGUGGGAACCUUCCCUAUGGUUCGGAAUAGCCCAGGGAAACUUGGGGUAAUACCGGAUAAGCCCUUCGGGGGAAAGAUUUAUCGCCAUUGGAUGGGCCCGCGUCGGAUUAGCUAGUUGGUGGGGUAAAAGCCUACCAAGGCGACGAUCAGUAGCUGGUCUGAGAGGACGACCAGCCACACUGGGACUGAGACACGGCCCAGACUCCUACGGGAGGCAGCAGUGGGGAAUUUUGGACAAUGGGGGCAACCCUGAUCCAGCCAUGCCGCGUGUGUGAAGAAGGCCUUCGGGUUGUAAAGCACUUUCGGACGGAACGAAAUCGCGCGAUCUAAUAAGUCGCGUGGAUGACGGUACCGUAAGAAGAAGCUGCGGCUAACUACGUGCCAGCAGCCGCGGUAAUACGUAGGCAGCAAGCGUUGUUCGGAGUUACUGGGCGUAAAGAGUGUGUAGGCGGUUUUCUAAGUUCGGUGUGAAAUCUCCCGGCUCAACUGGGAGGGUGCGCCGAAGACUGGGAGGCUUGAGUGCGGGAGAGGAAAGCGGAAUUCCUGGUGUAGCGGUGAAAUGCGUAGAUAUCANGAGGAACACCUGCGGUGUAGACGGCUUUCUGGACCGUAACUGACGCUGA
rnacentral:rRNA from 1 species